rnacentral:rRNA from 1 species
UACGGAGGGGGCUAGCGUUGUUCGGAAUUACUGGGCGUAAAGCGCACGUAGGCGGUUUCUUAAGUCGGGGGUGAAAUCCUGGAGCUCAACUCCAGAACUGCCUUCGAUACUGGGAAACUUGAGUUCGGGAGAGGUGAGUGGAACUGCGAGUGUAGAGGUGAAAUUCGUAGAUAUUAGGAAGAACACCAGUGGCGAAGGCGACUUCCUGGCCUGUUCUUGACGCUGAGGCGCGAAAGCUAGGGGAGCAAACGGG